GCCCUUCUUAGAGCAGGCGGACCUCCCGGCAUCGCUUCCAGCCCACAAGCGGGGCUCGCGAAAGCCCCCUUCGACGCCAAUUAAGCGCGGGCGCGCUCUGGAUGACAAGGCAGCCCGAGAGGCCGCAAAGGAAUACGAACGGGAAGAACGGAAGCGAGAUCGGGAACGGGCCAAACUUGAAGCUGAACGUGCGCGUCGCGAGCGAGCCAUCUCCAAAGUCGAGGCCCA
rnacentral:misc_RNA from 1 species